rnacentral:rRNA from 1 species
UAGGGAAUCUUCCACAAUGGACGAAAGUCUGAUGGAGCAACGCCGCGUGAGUGAAGAAGGAUUUCGGUUCGUAAAACUCUGUUGCAAGGGAAGAACAAGUAGCGUAGUAACUGGCGCUACCUUGACGGUACCUUGUUAGAAAGCCACGGCUAACUACGUGCCAGCAGCCGCGGUAAUACGUAGGUGGCAAGCGUUGUCCGGAAUUAUUGGGCGUAAAGCGCGCGCAGGUGGUUCUUUAAGUCUGAUGUGAAAGCCCCCGGCUCAACCGGGGAGGGUCAUUGGAAACUGGAGAACUUGAGUGCAGAAGAGGAUAGUGGAAUUCCAAGUGUAGCGGUGAAAUGCGUAGAGAUUUGGAGGAACACCAGUGGCGAAGGCGACUGUCUGGUCUGUAACUGACACUGAGGCGCGAAAGCGUGGGGAGCAAACAGG